rnacentral:rRNA from 1 species
GUGUCAGCAGCCGCGGUAAUACGUAGGGUGCGAGCGUUAAUCGGAAUUACUGGGCGUAAAGCGUGCGCAGGCGGUUCGUUGUGUCCGUCGUGAAAGCCCCGGGCUUAACCUGGGAACUGCGAUGGAAACUAGCGAGCUGGAGUGUGGCAGAGGGGGGUGGAAUUCCGCGUGUAGCAGUGAAAUGCGUAGAGAUGCGGAGGAACACCGAUGGCGAAGGCAGCCCCCUGGGCUAACACUGACGCUCAGGCACGAAAGCGUGGGGAGCAAACAGGAUUAGAAACCCUGGUAGUCC